rnacentral:lncRNA from 1 species
UCUGAUACAUGGAAGAUUAAGAAGAAGAAUAUGAAGUUGCUUGCUUGGAUGUGGCAAUCUUUAUUUGAUGCCUCGCUCUUGGUAUUUCUACUUGCAUAUUGAUAUUGCUUGAUUUAAAGUCCAAAGGAAAAAGUGGGUUUAUAUAUGAAACUCUUGUCUAUUGGAUUGUAUCCCAUUGGUCAGAUCUUUUCAACUCUUAACUUUUAAAUUUUAUGCUUAGUAUUAGUC